rnacentral:tRNA from 1 species
GCCGGUUUGGCUCAGUGGGUAGAGUGUUGGUCUGUGGACCCAAGGGUACUGGGUUUGAUUCUGGUCAAGGGCA